UACGUAGGGUGCAAGCGUUAUCCGGAAUUAUUGGGCGUAAAGGGCUCGUAGGCGGCCUGUCGACGUCGGGAGUGAAAGCCCACUGCUUAACGGUGGGUCUGCUUCCGGUACGGGCGGGCUGGAGUUAUGGCAGGGGAGACGUGGAAAUUCCUGGUGUAGCGGUGGAAUGCGCAGAUAUCAGGAGGAACACCGGUGGCGAAGGCGGCUCACUGGCUCAUUACUGACGCUCAGGCGCGACAGCGUGGGGAUCAAACAGG
rnacentral:rRNA from 1 species